rnacentral:rRNA from 1 species
AGUCAAUAGAUACCCCGGUAGUCCUAGCCGUAAACGAUACUCGCUAGGUGUCGGCCACGGUGCGACCGUUGUCGGUGCCGUAGGGAAAGCCGUGAAGCGAGCCACCUGGGAAGUACGGCCGCAAGGCUGAAACUUAAAGGAAUUGGCGGGGGAGCACCACAACGGGUGGAGCUUGCGGUUUAAUUGGAUUCAACGCCGGAAAUCUUACCGGGACCGACGGCAAUAUGAAGGCCAGGCUGAAGACUUUGCCGGAUUAGCUGAGAGGUGGUGCAUGGCCGUCGUCAGUUCGUACUGUGAAAGCAUCCUGUUAAGUCAGGCAACGAGCGAGACCCACGCCCACAGUUGCCAGCGUACUCUCUGGAGUGACGGGUACACUGUGGGGUACCGCCGCUGCUAAAGCGGAGGAAGGAAUGGGAACGGUAGGUCAGUAUGCCCCGGAAUAUCCCGGGCUACACGCGAGCUACAAUGGUUGGUACAAUGGGUAUCUACCCCGAAAGGGGUACGGGAAUCUCCUAAAACCAAUCUAGUUCGGAUUGAGGGCUGCAACUCGCCCUCAUGAAGCU